rnacentral:rRNA from 1 species
CUAAGCCAUGCGAAAAAUUGUAGUAAUACAAGGCAGACGGCUCAGUAACGCGUAGUCAACCUACCCUGUGGACGGGGAUAACCUCGGGAAACUGAGAAUAAUACCCGAUAGAACAUUAUGCCUGGAAUGGUUUAUGUUUCAAAUAAUUUAUUGCCGUAGGAUGGGACUGCGUCCUAUCAGUUUGUUGGUGAGGUAAUGGCCCACCAAGACUAUUACAGGUACGGGCUCUGAGAGGAGUAGCCCGGAGAUGGGUACUGAGACACGGACCCAGGCCCUAUGGGGCGCAGCAGGCGAGAAAACUUUGCAAUGUGCGAAAGCACGACAAGGUUAAUCCGAGUGGUUUCUGCUAAAGGAACCUUUUGUCAGUCCUAGAAACACUGAUGAAUAAGGGGUGGGCAAGUUCUGGUGUCAGCCGCCGCGGUAAAACCAGCACCUCAAGUGGUCAGGAUGAUUAUUGGGCCUAAAGCAUCCGUAGCCUGCUUUGUAAGUUUUCGGUUAAAUCCAUACGCUCAACGUAUGGGCUGCCGGGAAUACUGCAAAGCUAGGGAGUGGGAGAGGUAGACGGUACUCGGUAGGAAGGGGUAAAAUCCUUUGAUCUAUUGAUGACCACCUGUGGCGAAGGCGGUCUACCAGAACACGUCCGACGGUGAGGGAUGAAAGCUGGGGGAGCAAACCGGAUUAGAUACCCGGGUAGUCCCAGCUGUAAACUAUGCAAACUCAGCGAUGCAUUGGCUUGAUGCCAAUGCAGUGCUGCAGGGAAGCCGUUAAGUUUGCCGCCUGGGAAGUACGUACGCAAGUAUGAAACUUAAAGGAAUUGGCGGGGGAGCACCACAAGGGGU